UAGGGAAUCUUCGGCAAUGGGGGGAACCCUGACCGAGCAACGCCGCGUGAGUGAAGAAGGUUUUCGGAUCGUAAAGCUCUGUUGUUAAGGAAGAACGAGUGUGAGAAUGGAAAGUUCAUGCUGUGACGGUACUUAACCAGAAAGGGACGGCUAACUACGUGCCAGCAGCCGCGGUAAUACGUAGGUCCCGAGCGUUGUCCGGAUUUAUUGGGCGUAAAGCGAGCGCAGGCGGUUAGAAAAGUCUGAAGUGAAAGGCAGUGGCUCAACCAUUGUAGGCUUUGGAAACUGUUUAACUUGAGUGCAGAAGGGGAGAGGGGAAUUCCAUGUGUAGCGGUGAAAUGCGUAGGUAUAUGGAGGAACACCGGUGGCGAAAGCGGCUCUCUGGUCUGUAACUGACGCUGAGGCUCGAAAGCGUGGGGAGCGAACAGG
rnacentral:rRNA from 1 species